ACGAGGGGUGCAAGCGUUGUUCGGAAUCACUGGGCGUAAAGGGAGCGUAGGCGGAACUCCAAGUCGGUCGUACAAUACCGGGGCUCAACCCCGGACCUGCGGUCGAUACUGGGGCUCUUGAGUUAUUUAGAGGCAGGCGGAAUUCCAGGUGUAGCGGUGGAAUGCGUAGAGAUCUGGAAGAACACCAAUGGCGAAGGCAGCCUGCUGGGAAUUAACUGACGCUGAGGCUCGAAAGCGCGGGUAGCAAACAG
rnacentral:rRNA from 1 species